AAGUCGUAACAAGGUUUCCGUAGGUGAACCUGCGGAAGGAUCAUUAAAGAAUAUCGAGCUUCACAGCUCUUAUUCACCCCUUUGUAUUCAAACUUUGUGCUUUGGAGCGCCUUUAGGGCCUGCCUGAGGACCCGAAACCCUAGAAUCUCUGCCGUCUGAGUACUAUAUAAUAGUUAAAA
rnacentral:misc_RNA from 1 species